GAAAAGUCCAGAAACCCUCUGCCCAGAGCUCUUCCCUCCUCUCCUUCUGUCUCGCCAGUUCUGGCGUGUUCCAGAUUGGGUAAGCAAUCGUUUGUGGAAAAACCAAGGGAAACCAAGCCAACCGAAGCCAAACCCACCAGCUAAGGGAAAGUGUUAGUGAAGAAAUCUCUGAUUCGUGAGCCAUAGUUGAGGAGAUAUCACCCCACAAUUAAGAUUCCUAUUCGUGAUUUUGCAGGGUUAGUUAAUGCUGGAAGUUGAAUCAGGGAUCGCGAAUGCAAAAAGAGAUAUAUGCUAGCUGAAUUUCAUAUAGAAGGUUGUAAUAGUUUUUGUGUGAAUAUUAUUAAAGUUAAAUAUGAAGAGUUAUUGAAUAUUAUG